rnacentral:rRNA from 1 species
GACGAACGCUGGCGGCGCGCUUAACACAUGCAAGUCGAGCGAGAACCAGGGCUUCGGCCCUGGGGACAGCGGCGAACGGGUGAGUAACACGUGGGUAAUCCACCCUCGGCACCGGAAUAGCCCGGGGAAACCCGGAUUAAUGCCGGAUGGCCCGCCGGCCCUGCGGGGCUGGCGGAAAAGGUAGCUUCGGCCUCCGGCCGAGGACGAGCCCGCGACGGAUUAGCUUGUUGGGGGGGUAACGGCCUACCAAGGCUGCGAUCCGUAGCUGGUCUGAGAGGACGAUCAGCCACGCUGGGACAGAGACACGGCCCAGACUCCUACGGGAGGCAGCGGUGGGGAAUCUUGCGCAAUGGGCGAAAGCCGGACGCAGCGACGCCGCGUGAGGGAAGAAGGCCUUCGGGUUGUAAACCUCUUUCAGGAGGGACGAAGCCACUCGGGUUAAUAGCCCAGAGGGUGACGGUACCUCCAGAAGAAGCCCCGGCUAACUACGUGCCAGCCGCCGCAGUAAAAC